rnacentral:rRNA from 1 species
GUAGGGAAUCUUCCACAAUGGGCGAAAGCCUGAUGGAGCAACGCCGCGUGUGUGAUGAAGGGUUUCGGCUCGUAAAACACUGUUGUAAGAGAAGAAUGACAUUGAGAGUAACUGUUCCAAUGUGUGACGGUAUCUUACCAGAAAGGAACGGCUAAAUACGUGCCAG